UCCUACGGGGGGCAGCAGUAGGGAAUCUUCCACAAUGGGCGAAAGCCUGAUGGAGCAACGCCGCGUGGGUGAAGAAGGUCUUCGGAUCGUAAAACCCUGUUGUUAGAGAAGAAAGUGCGUGAGAGUAACUGUUCACGUUUCGACGGUAUCUAACCAGAAAGCCACGGCUAACUACGUGCCAGCAGCCGUGGUAAUACGUAGGUGGCAAGCGUUAUCCGGAUUUAUUGGGCGUAAAGGGCGCGUAGGUGGGUGCUUAAGUCAGGUGUGAAAACUCUGGGCUCAACCUGGAGACUGCACUUGAAACU
rnacentral:rRNA from 1 species